rnacentral:rRNA from 1 species
GACGAACCGUGCGAACGUUAUUCGGAAUCACUGGGCCUAAAGCGCGUGUAGGCGGCCCGGCACGUCUCUGGCUGAAAUCCCCCGGCUCAACCGGGGAAGGGGCCGGGAUACGACCGGGCUGGAGGGGGGUAGGGGGGACGGGAACUCCGGGUGGAGCGGUGAAAUGCGUUGAGAUCCGGAGGAACGCCCGCGGCGAAAGCGCGUCCCUGGACCCCGCCUGACGCUGAGACGCGAAAGCCAGGGGAGCGAACGGGAUUAGAUACCCCGGUAGUCCUGGCCGUAAACCAUGGGCACUGGGUAGGGGGCUCGCCGAUGGGCUCCCUGCCGCAGCGAAGGCGUGAAGUGCCCCGCCUGGGGAGUAUGGUCGCAAGGCUGAA